GCGGCAGUUUGCAGGAAGCAGCGGGGAGCGAAAGGGGGUCCGGCGCCUGCCCCCGCCGCAGCAUGGUGCCGGCCGGCCGUGCCCGCAGGCUGGUUUCCAUUCUCAGUCAGGCCCUGGAAGACUGUGCUGAGCAAAAGAAGAAGCUAGAGGACAAUCUAACCCUGUGUCGGGCCCUUCUUGGAGACUGGAAAGUGCAAACUCCUGAGAGUCCAAAGCCAGAGAAUGGUCCAAAGAGUGACCAAGAAAGUGAGCCUUCACCUAAGGAACUGGAGCAGCUGGAGCUGCUGAACAGAGCCCUGGAGAGAGCAUUAAGAGUCCGGAAAAGCACCCUGCGAAAUCCUUUGGAGGCCCUAGGAGCUGCAGAAGGAAAGAAGGGAACAGAGAAGAAACCUGCUACCAGUGCUGUUAGAAUGCAGCAGGCACCCUUGUCUAAAGAGAGUGUCCCUAAGACAAUCAAGGUGACAUCUGUGUGCAAAAAGGCUUCCUCUUCCAAAAAGCUCCCAGCCUAUAUGCUGAAAGCUCCCUACAGGACUGAUCCUGUGAAAGCACCAACCAGUCACAGCUCCAGGGCUCCAAAGGUGGCUGGGAAGGGCUCGACUAAAGGGUCUGCCCUCCAACAAGUGAGGAAAACUGUGCCAGCUGCCAGUGUUAUUCAGCAAGGGUUCUGUGCUGCUGCAGAACCACCUGGCUCACCCAGCUCUCCCCUGCACCAGCAGCAGAGCUCUUCUUCCUUUGGAGGCUCUGCUAGUGGCGAAAACUCAGCAGCUGUCAUCCUACAGGGAGUCGAUCCAGAGAAUGAUUGUCGUGGUUCCUUGGCAGAGUCUCCAGUGACACAGAGACAUACAGCAGGAGAUAUCCCUGUGGGGAGCACCAUGGCCCGCACAUUCACUCUCCAGGAAAAGGGGUCUUUGUUGAAGCUACCGCUUCCCUAUAGGAAAGCCUAUUCCAGGAACUCCAGACUGUGGGAGAAGUGUCAUCUGUGCCAAAGCAGCUCAGCCACAGCUGCUGCAAGGAGUUGCUUUCUAGAGAGAAUGCAGGCGACCUUUUGUUCCUCUGCACCAGCUUUUAGUCCUGCAGAGAUAGAAGAGGAGGUGAUGGUCCUACGUGAUGCACAUUCUCUCCUGAGCCAGUACAUGGAAGCUGAGACCACAGGCCACCCAACGUGGGAGAGAGAGUAUGAAUGUCUCCUGACCCUGGAAGGCCUGCAAGACACAGCAUCCCAGUGUCUGCACAAGCUACAGCUGCUGCAAGCAGCUGCGGAGUCCCAGGUCGUGGUACACCCGACAGACUGUACUCACUGUGUGGGGACCUCCCCUGCAGAUUGUGCUCCACUCAGAGGACGAAGAUGUGGAGACCCGGGUGUCCUGGCAACACCUCUCCUUUUUUACUCCAGCUUCCAGGAGCUGAGGGACAUGGCUGCCUUGAAACUGCAGGUGCUGAUGCUGCGCCAGCAAAUUGACAUACAGAAGGUCUUGAUAGCUGAGCUUCUCCCCAUUCUGGAAUCCAGGCUCCCUCAUGAUGAUUCUCCAUCUCAUCUGUACCGCUCAGUUUACACCCAACUCUGUGAAGGAGGCGAGCGGUUCCCUGUGCUGAUGAAUGAUGAGCUGCCAGACUGACCCUGAAUCCAGCCUGCUGUCCUGCCGGCCGUCACCACGCCCAGAGAGAGAGCCAAGAAAUAAACUUUUCCUAUCAUCAUCUCUACCUGAUAGCUGAGGGGUUCUGAAGACAAGGGCUUUGAAGUACCACUACCCUGGGGCUUACCAUCCAACAGGUUACAUGAAUAGUGCAGUCCUUUACCUGGAUCACCUCCAACUGUGAUCCUGUCUGAUCCACCAAGCUAAGAAGGGCUGAGCCACAUGGGUGCUUAGAUGGGAGAUGUCCAUGGAAAACCCAGGUGCUGCAGGAAGUAGUGCUGCUGGAAUGGAUUGCUAGGUGGUGCUCUUCCCUCUCAGUACUGAACCAGUACUGUGUGAUGCUGGAGGAGCUGUCUUUCAGAGACCAACCUAGUGUCUGGUCUAGUCCUAUGGCACUUGUCAUAAGAGUAGUAGUUUUGACCCUGGUGUCCUGGCCAAAUUCCAACAUGGGUAAUUACAUUCUACCUCCCUAGCUUCCCCUUGUAUUUUGAAUCAUAUGAUAUUCUUUCCUUCCUGUCUCUAAACUGAGUGGUGCUGCUGUGCACUGAUUAACAGUAACACUCUAGCAAAGGGUGACAUGUCUCUGGUUGUAAGCGCUUUGUGAUCUAAUUGGAUGAAAGGAGCUGCUGUGGACAUUGUAGCACUAUCUUCGCUUCUUAGAUGUCACCAGCUCUUGUUAGUUUAGGGCACAUCAUAACAGAACAUAAUCUGUUUGCUGUAGGGUGUUUUCAGUCCCAAGAGAAUGACUGACAGCAGUGUCUUCUCCAACAUUAAGAAACUUUGGGCAAAAUGUGUAUGUUGAAUCCGCCCUUCCUAAGGCCUUUUUACCCAUUGCUGCUGUAGUCAAAAUUCACUAAAAAUCAGAAUUUUGUGUGUUAUA